UCGGUUAUGGUGUAGCGGCUAACAUGGCUGUCUUUCAUGAUCAUGUAGUUAUGAGCACAGCAGCUCCGGGUUCGACUCCCGGUAACCGAA